rnacentral:rRNA from 1 species
AACGUAGGACGCAAGCGUUUAUCCGGAAUUACUGGGCGUAAAGCGCGUGUAGGUGGUUGUAUAAGUCAUCGUUGAAAGCUCCCGGCUAAACUGGGAGAGGUGCGGUGAGACUGUGCGACUGGAGUACGGGAGAGGGGUGCGGAAUUCCGGGUGUAGUGGUGAAAUGCGUAGAGAUCCGGAGGAACACCAGAGGCGAAGGCGGCACCCUGGCCUGAAACUGACACUGAGACGCGAAAGCGUGGGGAGCAAACAGG